CGGUUCAUACGGAUAAAUGUGUCAAUAGCGCCACCGCGUGUCUUAAAAUGAAACUAGUCUUAUAAUUUUGUAACCUGCUCUUUUAGAUAUAAACUGUUCUUUCGAUAGUAAAUACAUACAUGACAAUUGCACUUUAAAGUAUGGGUAUUAUGGUAUUUAAUAGUCAAACUGUUUAGCCAGAAAUUAACUUGAGUGAAAAUACCAGAAGUGAACUACACUCUAAAAAAUGCUGGGUUAUUUUUUCAACCCAACCGCUGGGUUGAGACUGCUGGGUAAGGACGCUGGUUAAUUCAACCCAAUUUUGGGUUAAAGAUCCUUCUUAAUCUUAACCCAGCAGUGCUGGGUUGGGAACACGGACGUGAAGGAGAGCAUGCGCGUCACGUUAACAGCACUGAGGACUCCGGUGCGAGAAGCCGCCAUUUUCUCCGCGUCUUCGGAUGGAAUCGAGUGAAAGACGGUUCAUGACUUGUUGCGCUUUGUGUGUUCGUUUGGCCCGCUCCGGGAGUAAACGACAGGCGACUGCUGUGCGAGGAUGCGCGAUUUUCUCAGCUAACGUUACAGAAGAAGAGAGGGAAAGACGAUUUAUGAACUCAAACCAACUGUGGUGAGGAGCCCUUCUCCUUGGUCUUCCUUUCUUAAAGGAAUAGUGCACACAAAAAUAAAAAUUGUCACCAUUUACCCAACCUCAUGUCUUUCCAAACCCAUAAGACUUUUGUCCGUCUAUGGAACACAAAUGAAGAUAUUUUUAAUAUUCUCAUCUUUAUUUAUUUUUAUCCAUUUACAGUCUAGAUGAUCAGUAUUUUUAAGCUUCACAAAUGCAAAGUUAUUGUAGUAAUCCAUACCAAUAUUUAUAUGUGAAUACAAUUCUAAAUUAUAUCUGUUCAUAUCAUGUAAAGCAAUCAUGUCUGUUCAGAUUCAAAAAUGUUGACUCCCAGACUUGCAAUGGAUGGACAAAAAAUUGAGAGAAUAUUAAAAAUAUCUUCAUUUAUGUUUCAAAGAUUACCAAAAGUCUUAUGGUUUUGGAACGACAUGAGGGAGAGUAAAUUAUGACAGUUUUCUUUUUUGGGUGAACUAAUACUUUAAAGAGCAGCCCUCCAAGUUCAUCAAAAUGUGUGAGGGAUGAAUACUGGUUAAAAAGGAGAAUGAUCUUCCCCAAUGGAGAUCACUGAUGUGACCGUGCUUUUAAAGGAGAAGAUUGUCCUGGACAAUUUAAAGGAUGUUGCAUGCCUUUGCUGUGCUGAUGGAGCUUCUUCAUGACUGGACAUCAGUUAUCCUAAGGAGGUCAGGAAAAUUGGCAGUGAUGCGUGUUCUGUAUGUACUCAUGGACUCAACGAACUUUUAGCAUAUAAUCUGACAAAUGUUCAAUGCUUGUUCAUUGUUGUUUAGUGGAUAAAUUCACACUCUCAUUCAAACUCAAAUUCUUUCACAUGUCUUAGGGAAUUCUGUAACUAACAAAUGUUAUAAUGUCAGUGUUAAUGUUGUGGUUUGUGUUCAGUCAUGUUUGUAAAACAAACAAAAAACUUUAGUCAUGUUAAAUAGUGUUAUUAAAAUUCUUAGAUUUAUUUAACUCUUAGUUUAAUAUAGCUCCAUAUUUUAGGCAACAAUAGAGAUUUUAGAUAAUUAUUACCAAGUAGUUUUGUAAACAACUUAAGGUUAUGGAUUUAUAGUUAUAAGUUUGAAAUUGAGUUAACUUUGGAAGUUAACUUGUUACCUUUGUUUGCUUGAAUAAAUUAUUGCAAUAUUUAAUACAAUUACUUAAAGUUGAAACCAGUGAAUAAUUUUAUAGUGUAGUGUUUUUGUUGGCGGUGGAUAAUAUGCAAAAAAAGUCUUAUUUGGUCUUAAAUGCCAGUUAUAUUCAUCAAUGUUCACUGAAAUGUGAAAAACAAUUUAAUUUCUGUAUAAACUGUAUGGCUGUUGAUUUGCAAUUCUUUUCUGAUUUUCAUCUCACAUGCAUGUUGUUACUUUUGACCAUGUUUGCCCUUGUCCUUGUUUUUAAUAAAUUUUUACCUUUUGAUAGUCA